GGUGGCCUAGUGGUUAGAGCGUCCGCCUGGGAUGCAGGCGGUCGUUGGUUCGAACCUCGGCCGAGUCA